GCCUUCGUGGUGUAGUGGUCAGCAUGCUCGGCGUGUAUUCGAGAGGACCGUGGUUCGAGUCCCGGCGAGGGCA
rfam:Stegodyphus mimosarum contig127145, whole genome shotgun sequence.